CGCCACCUCUGUGCAUUGUGAUGCCACGCCAUGGUUCCUAUGGAUGAACUUCACUUGGUUUGGAGUUAAGAGUUGCCGAGAGCCGGUGGGCUUCCUUUUGGAUUAUUGGAUGUAUAUAUUGUGAAGAUCUCCUGUGACAACGAAGUUUUCGUUCGGAGCAUCGCGACCAUCUGAUGACGGCACGGCGCCCAACGAAAGAGUCAGGGUGAAGUCCUCAAAGGGAAGCUGUACUAUAACAGCUUAUGACUUUAGCGAUCCUGGAGGUUCUGCUAUAUUCUGCUCUGAACACUUAAUACAGGUUGAAGAACAAGUUUCCUAUUGCAAAUGAUGGGGCCAGAAAGGUUUGUCUCAGCCUACUCUUUGAUUGGUCUGGAGGUUUCUUAUCUGGCCAGUAAUAAGUUUUAUGCCUUCCCUGAAGUAUUCACACGAGAAGAGAUGCCAGUCACUGUGGAUAAUAUGGUAACAGUUGAAGAUCUGGUGAAGUGGCCUUAUCAGGCAAAAGUGCACAUCUCUAGCGUGAAGGCAAAUGUUGACACCCUGUUAAUUGGAACCAAUGCGCCCAAGGCAUUAGAACCCUGGGAGGUUAUCAAUAGCUGCGGGAAUGGCCUGUAUGCUAUCAGGACAGUCCUGGGAUGGGUUGUCAAUGGCCCACUGAACGGAAUCAGGAAUGCACCGUUACCCUCCACCACAGUGAACCAUAUCUCCAUGGAAAGGAUUGAAGAGAUGCAGGUUAGUUAGUACAACCAUGACUUCAGUGAGAGGAUUGCAGAGGAGAAGGAAAUGUCCAAAGACGACCUCAGGUUUCUGGAAAUCAUGGACCAUUCAGCCGUGCUGCAAGAUGGGAGGUACUACUUAAAGCCGCACU